rnacentral:lncRNA from 1 species
AGGAAAUGGUGAAUAUGUCAAAGCGACAACCACCCGACCAUAGAGAAAACAACAGCCGAAGGCAACCAAUGGGUCUUCAAUGUAGCGAGAAUUCCCGCACCCGUAGGUGUCCUUCAGCUGGCCCCUAAAAUAUGCAUAAUAGUACAGUGAUAAUGGAUGUCAUACUAAACUCUGAAUUAUACACAAGAAACUAAAAUUUAAAAUCAUACAAGACUAACAAAGGCCAGAGGCUCCUGACUUGGGACAGGCGCAAAAUUGCGGCGGGGUUAAACAUGUUUAUGAGAUCUCAACCCUCUCCCUAUACCUCUAGCCAAUGUAGAAAAGUAAAAGAAUAACAAUACGCACAUUAAAAUUCAGUUCAAGAGAAGUCCGAGUCCGAUGUCAAAAGAUGUAACAAAAGAAAUUAAUAAAAUGACAAUAAUACAUAAAUAACAACAGACUACUAGCAGUUAACUGACAUGCCAGCUCCAGAC